rnacentral:rRNA from 1 species
GACGAACGCUGGCGGCGUGCUUAACACAUGCAAGUCGAACGAAGUGGCGAACGGGUGAGUAACGCGUAAUCAACCUGCCCUUCAGAGGGUGACAACAGUUGGAAACGACUGCUAAUACCGCAUACUGAAGGAGGGGAUUGCGUCUGAUUAGCUAGUGGGAGGGUUAACGGCCCACCAAGGCGAUGAUCAGUAGCCUGUCUGAGACGAGUAACGGCCACACUGGGACUGAGACGCGGCCCAGACUCCUACGGGUGGCAGCAGUGGGGAAUGAUCCGCAAUGGACGAAAGUCUGACGGAGCAACGCCGCGUGAGUGAUGACGGCCUUCGGGUUGUAAGGCUCUGUUAAUCGGGACGCGGUACCGGAAUAGAAAGCCACGGCUAACUACGUGCCAGCCGCCGCGGUAAUAC